CUUGCCGCCCAACUCCGCGUCCUCCUCUCCUCCCCCCAUCUUCGGGGAGCAAACUGCCGGGGAAGAUCCACGUGGUCACCUUCCGCCCUGUAGCUUGGCGGCGGCGGCAGCGGCGACUGGUUGCCGCCGGAUUGGAUGAGUCCGGCCUGUAGCAGACAGACAUCAACAUCAAAUGAUGAUCGAGAUCCAGAGAAGGAAAUCCCAGGAGCUCACAGAAAUUAUGUGAAAAUCAUUGUAUCCCUGCAGAUCAGGGAAGAAAACAAAUCUCGGCUUCCCAGGAACAUCGACGCAGAUCUUGGCACGCCGGGAGCAAAAGCGCCCUUUCCCCGACUAAACCAAACUCUGACGAACAAUCAAUACCGGGGGAAAAGAAGAAGGAUCUACGCUUUCCAUUUGUGGGGAGCGAGUGAGGGGGG
rnacentral:lncRNA from 1 species